rnacentral:misc_RNA from 1 species
AACGCACCUUGCGCCCUUUGGUAUUCCGAAGGGCAUGCCUGUUUGAGUGUCAUUAAAUUCUCAACCUUGAACCAGUUUUUGUGACUGGGCCAAGGCUUGGAUGUGAGGGCUUUGCUGGCUUCCUUCAGUGGAUGGUCUGCUCCCUUUAAAUGCAUUAGUGGGAUCCUUUGUGGACGGUCACUUGGUGUGAUAAUUAUCUACGCCGCGUUGACUGUGAAGCAAAACUUAUGGGACCCUGCUUAUAACCGUCCUUCGGGACAAUUUAUUGACCAUUUGACCUCAAAUCAGGUAGGACUACCCGCUGAACCUAA